CCUACGGGAGGCAGCAGUGAGGAAUAUUGGUCAAUGGACGCAAGUCUGAACCAGCCAUGCCGCGUGCAGGAAGACGGCUCUAUGAGUUGUAAACUGCUUUUGUACGAGGGUAAACGCAGACACGCGUAUCUGUCUGCAAGUAUCGCACGAAUAAGGACCGGCUAAUUCCGUGCCAGCAGCCGCGGUAAUACGGAGGAUUCAAGCGUUAUCCGGAUUUAUUGGGUUUAAAGGGUGCGUAGGCGGUCGGAUAAGUUAGUGGUGAAAUGCCGAGGCUCAACUUCGGAAUUGCCUCUGGUACUGGUCGGCUAGAGAGUGCUUGCGGUAGGCGGAAUGUAUGGUGUAGCGGUGAAAUGCUUAGAGAUCAUACAGAACACCGAUUGCGAAGGCAGCUUACCGAGCUACUUCUGACGUUGAGGCACGAAGGCGUGGGGAGCGAACAGGAUUAGAUACCCCUGUAGUC
rnacentral:rRNA from 1 species